GGUUAAUUCCUUCUUUGAUUCCCUCAUUCUAUAAGUUCCUCAAUUUCAUCUCUAAUUUUCUUUCCAUGGAGAUCAAACCCACCUCAGAUAUCCAUCUUCCUCCUGGAUUUAGAUUCCAUCCAUCGGAUGAGGAGCUUAUAGUCCACUACUUGAAGAACAAAGUAGCUUCAAGUCCUCUUCCAGCUUCUAUUAUUGCUGACUUAGAUCUCUACAAGUACAAUCCAUGG
rnacentral:misc_RNA from 1 species